rnacentral:lncRNA from 1 species
UCCUAAUCUAUGUUUUCGAUCCUUUUUUACACAAAAUCCGCUUCACCUAUAUUAAAUUUACAACUUUGGAUUCGAGGCCCAAAAUGAAUAAAUAAAUAAUUGAUUGAAUGAAAAUAAGUAAAUGAAGGAAACACUGAAAGUAAAAAUAAUGAGACUUUCAAGUCUCCUUUGCCGCUUCAAAGAUAGGCCUUUAACCCCUUCUUCUUCUUUAAUCUCCCCGUAUUCAUGCACUAGACCCAAUUGCCAUAUUUCAUAGCUUAUAUAAAGUGUUUUCAACACACUACACAAAAAAAACUGCAGAGAGAAUCUAAGCGAAAGAAAAUCAACAAUUGCAAAUGCCUACACAGUUUAGCAAGAUUUUGAAGAAAACUAAAAUGCAUCAUUUGAAUAACAUCUUUACAAUGAAGGAGUCAAGAAAAGCCAAAAUUCUGAACUCUAGUAUCCGAAAAACAUCGCAUACUUAAUAGGCAAAAUAAAUUAUAACAUUUUUCAUUUUUAGAUAAAAUCGAAUCGUGACGGCGAGGAGGGUAAAACUAACCAGAACAAGAGAAAGAAAACAACUUAGUGAGAGGGAUGCAAAAAGAAGGAACAUGAACAAGAUACAAGGAUUAAACAUUUUUGCCAAAUCAUGGCUUCUAAAAAAAAUCGAUAAAGUAAGAUCCUAAUCAAUUCAUCAACAGUAUGCAUACAAUUGCACAGUCUGGCAGUAAUUGUAUUUAAAACAUACAAGACUGGAAACAAAGACAAGUUAAAACCUUUGUAAACUCAAGAAUGUACAUAUGCACAACUUUCUUGGCAUAACGACGGCAAUGACUAUAACAAAGUACUCAAUUGCGGAUAAAAUGGAAAUGACAAAAGAAAAAAUAAAAUCACAUUUUUGAAGAAAACCAAUAAAACAAAGGUCGUGGGAAAACAAAAUUAACAAUUUGCCUCCAAGUUUGAUUUUUCAAAAUCAUGACUCUAAAUAUAACCCCACUACAAAUUGCUCGACAAACAAACGCAUAUUAACAAGUUAGCACCCUUUUUUUCUUUUUUUUCUUUUUGAAUAAGGGAGUCAACACUCCUAACAUCUAUAUCAGCGUAGCAAUUAGCAGUUGAAGAUUCACACACAACGAAUAUGGAAUUUCAAGAAUAGACAAAAACAAAACAAAGAAAGGAUCUUUUUAGAGAAACACUACCAACACAAAGCAAUAUUAAGAGUACAUACAUAUUCAUAACUAUAUGUAAAUUAUAUAAAAAAAAAUAGCUAAGGAUUUUCAACAGAGAAUCAAAAUAGUGAACUUUUACGAAAAGAGCAAAAACUAAAACAUAAGACUAACAAUGAAUCAACAUGUUAAAAGCACCAUCUUCAUCACCUAAUCCUUCGUCGCUCCCAGCAAGCAACAUCAUCGAAACAACUACAGAAUAGAGAAACGAAGCAGAGAUACUCAAAACUAAAUGGAAUAGAAUGUUACCUGUUUCAGAGUAACAAAACGGGAUUUGAGUUGUCGUCGAAAUCUCCCCUCCACCACCAAAAGACUUCUAUGACUCCGAGAACACCUCGACUUUCUCAUGAUGAGAAUUUUUUUACUAAAAAAAUGAUGUUUUGCUGGAAAGUUUUUCACCUCCUAGACUUGGUAUUUUUCAGCUCAGUCCUCCCUUUUAUAGAAGAAAUAUUUUAGGUUCAAAUUUAUGCUGCAACCGAUGUGGGAAAAUGGGAUUGAAGGGUAAUUUCGAAAAUUUAAGGGAAUCACCUUAUGAGCUGGACACCAUCUAUCUCAAAAUUGUUUUGUAUGAAUUUCAAAUUUUGAAAUUUAAACGAGGGUAGGGUGUCAAUAUCGGGUUAAAAAUGUCGGGUUGCUGAUGGGUCUAUCGGGUUGGUGCUAGUUUCGGGUCAAAACUGUCGGGUUAGUUAAGGGUCAAAUCUCGGGUUAUCACUGAUCACUGUUUGUGCAUCGUAUUUUGUUGCUGAUGUUAUGCUGUUUUUGUGUCAUUGAAUUGCUGCAAGAUUGUUAAAGAAGAAAUACAAAGGGUCGGGUCAAGAUUGUAUUGGGCCGAGCUGAUAUUGUUUGAGGUAGGCUGCUAAUAUGUUAUUGGGUCAAGGGUAAAAGGGAAGGAAACUGGGCUGGUUUGGGCUGGUAGCUGUUGUUUGAAUUGGGUUGGGGUUAUCUU